GGAUGAGCACCGGUCGAUUCCUUACGUCUAAAUUGAUCAAAACGAGACGAGUUAGAUGUUUCAAAUACGUGACGAAAUUUUGAGGCACUGGACUGGAUAGAUCAUUGUAGAGGCACAUACCAAGAAUUACUUUGAGUGCUUCCCGGAUUUUUUCUUCAGGGAUGUUGACAAGCAGCUCCUGUAGUAGCAAGGUUCAGGUUAUUGUCAUGCUAUGCAUCAUUACACCAACUUUAAGAGUUAUCAGGAUUAAAGAGGAUGGUGACGAUGGUCAGUUGGACACAUACUGAAUAUUGAUGAUCUACGGAGUACUGGUCUGGCAGUAGGGAAACGUCACUUUUCACAUGACACGGGUACUCAAGAUGGUUAUGACUUAUUUGUGGGGCACAAUUCAAUUAAUUCCAUCUAAGAAAGAAAUGGAAAAAAAGGAUGUUUUAAUUGUUUCAGUUUCAGGCUACUGCGGUAACUGAUAAGGUGCACCUGUCUUGAAAGAUCACAUGCAAGAUAUUGCCAUGCCACUGAAGUAUACUACAUUAUCAGUACAGUUAGUCAACAAGGAAAGAAGCUUGGUUUACUACUGAUCAUUUCCCUAGAAUCCAUCUAAUGGUGACAUAAUUAUUAUUGGUGACCCUCUUAAUUCAGUGGUUUCAGAUAACCAGGUUAGUUCAGGCAAAAAAGCAGCAGCAUCUCCAGACAAUGUCAAGCGAGCACUAGUUUCCAUUCACAGUUGGAUUAAGUGGCAGGUCAUGGCUUCAUGAACAAGAACAGACAGUGGAAUAUGUCCUCCAUUGUUGCAGUGGAUGCUACCGCGCGGUGACACGAGUACUAAAGUUAAGGUCAGUACGGCUAAAUGAGCUUUUAAUAUGCACCGCCAAACAAAACCAUCGCAACGGCUCAGUGGAGAGCUAGGAAAAUGGGAAUAAAUAUUGCAUGGUACACAGGAAAAAUGCUAGCUUGUGUGGUUAGUUAUAACGGAUCAAAGUCACGGCCAACAAAUUUAUGAAAGAAUUACGCUGGUCAGACGUCACUCGACAGUUAAAAGACAGUGCGAUUAUACUAUGAGUCAACUUGAUCCUUUUUUCACAUAAGUUUUCAUAAAGUAUAAUAAUUGACAAAGUCAACUUGAUCUUUGUUUAGGCGCCCAAAUGCACAGAGGAAA